UCUCAUUUUAAGUAUUAUUCAGCAAACUUAUCUACUCCCUAUUCAGAGAAACGCUGAUAUGGUGGUGUUUGGCGGGAAGAAAGUAGUGAGUGUAGUCCGAGGUAAUGGUAUGGGUCAGGUUUUGGCAGCCAUAGCUGCUGCUCUCCUACUUCGUUUAUUUUCAGGACCUGGACCUUCACUCUUCCCUGAAGAACAAGAUGAUGAUGAUAAUUUUAAUGAUGGAAAAGAAAGGAUAAAUGAAGAAGAAGAAGAGAAAACUCCAAUUCCAGGUGUUCUUUCAGUGAAGCCAAUAACUGUUCAGUGGAGCAACAUUACAUGUUCUCUUGCAGACAGAUCCGGCAAAACUGUGAGAUUCCUUUUGAAAAAUGUGAGUGGAGAGGCAAAACCAGGAAGAUUAUUAGCUAUAAUGGGACCAUCAGGAUCGGGUAAAACUACACUUCUCAAUGUACUUGCUGGACAGCUUGCUAGUGCAUCACGGUUACAUUUAUCUGGCAUUCUUCAGCUCAAUGGACGUCCAUUUUCGAGUAAAAAUUUCAAGUUUGCUUAUGUAAGACAGGAAGACCUUUUCUUCUCUCAGCUGACAGUGAGGGAAACAGUGUCCCUUGCUGCUGAACUCCAGCUCUCUAAUAUCUAUUCUGCGGAGGAGAGAGAUGGAUAUGUCGACGAUCUUCUCUUUAGGCUGGGCUUGGUCAACUGUGCUGAUUCUAAUGUCGGUGAUGCUAAAGUUCGUGGAAUUAGUGGCGGGGAAAAGAAACGUCUAUCACUUGCAUGCGAACUAAUGGCAAGUCCGUCUGUUAUAUUUGCUGACGAACCGACAACUGGGCUUGAUGCAUUCCAGGCAGAGAAGGUAAUGGAGACACUUUCACAACUUGCCAGGGAUGGACAUACUGUAAUUUGCUCCAUACACCAGCCUAGAGGUUCAGUUUAUGUGAAAUUCGACGACAUUUUAUUACUAGCAGAAGGUGCACUCAUUUAUGCAGGGCCAGCACAUGAUGAACCAGUUUCAUACUUCUCAAAGUUUGGAUAUCCGUGUCCAGAUCAUGUGAAUCCGGCAGAAUUUUUGGCUGAUCUCAUAUCUGUCGACUACACUUCCACUGAAAGUGUCUACUUCUCUCGAAAGAGGAUAGAUGGUCUUGUUGAGGCAUUUGUGCGUAACUCAUCAACUAUCAUUUAUAAAACACCACUUCCCAGAACAGAGGUUUGCAAGACCAAUAAGAUUGCUUGCAGGAAGUCCGUUGUAAAGAGGAAAGGCGGUUGGUGGAGACAGUUUCGCUUGCUCCUUAAACGUGCUUGGAUGCAGGCUUCUCGUGAUGGUCCUACCAACAAAGUCCGCGCUAGAAUGUCUGUUGCAUCAGCCAUAAUAUUUGGAUCUGUGUUCUGGCGAAUGGGAAGAUCACAAACAUCUAUACAGGACAGAAUGGGUUUGCUUCAGGUUGCUGCAAUAAACACUGCAAUGGCUGCCCUGACGAAGACUGUGAGUGUGUUUCCUAAGGAACGCGCAAUUGUAGAUAGAGAGCGUGCGAAGGGGUCUUAUGCAUUAGGACCGUACCUACUUUCUAAAUUGCUGGCUGAGAUUCCUAUUGGAGCGGCAUUUCCUUUAAUGUUUGGUGCAGUUCUAUAUCCAAUGGCUCGUCUUCAUCCUAGUGUACCCAGAUUUGGGAAGUUCUGUGGAAUUGUGACAGUGGAGUCAUUUGCUGCAUCUGCAAUGGGUCUUGCUGUUGGAGCAAUGGCUCCAACUCCUGAAGCAGCAUUGGCAUUGGGACCUUCUCUUAUGACGGUAUUUAUUGUAUUUGGAGGCUAUUAUGUCAAUGCUGAAAACACACCUGUGAUAUUCCGCUGGAUUCCUCGGUUUUCUCUUAUAAAAUGGGCCUUUCAAGGUCUUUGCCUAAACGAGUUUAGGGACUUGCAGUUUGAUCACCAUAGUUCCCUUGAUAUUCAAACUGGAGAGCAGGUGCUGGAGAGGUUGUCAUUUGGUGGUGGUCGGAUUAGAGAUACGGUGAUUGAGCAGGGUAGAAUUAUGUUAUUCUGGUAUUGGAUUACUUACCUUCUUCUUCAAAAAAAUAAACCCAAAUAUAUGCAGCUUCAACUACCUCCUACAGUUAGCCAACUCCAAAUCCAAGAGUACGAAAAAGAAGAGACUGCAGAACCUCCUCCUGCUAGUCCAAUUCAAGGGUUCCAGCAGGUUGAUCCUCCUCCAUUAGACCAAAUUGAAUUUAUCCAGCAACCUGAACUACCUCCUGCUAUUGGCCAACUCCAAAUGCAAGAAGAGUACGAAAAAGAAGAGACCACAGAACCUCCUCCUGCUAGUCCAACUCGGGGGUUCCAGCUGGUAGAUCCUCCUCCAUUAGACCGAAUUGACUCUAUCCAGCAACUUGAUUUACCUACUGCUGCUGGCCAACUCCAAAUCCAAGAGUUCGAAAAAGAAGAGACCGCAGAAGCUCUUGCUAGUCCAGUUCAGGUGUCCCAGCAGAAGGCCUCUAAUUUACAUAGGUAGACUUGAAUACUGCUGACUAAUAAUGCAAUGAUGCUGUUGCCGAGGACCAAGAUCGCAAAGUCAUAAAGAACAUAUGUUGUUAGCAUACGCUACGGAUACUGAUGUUGGAAGCAUUCUUCACAAGUUAUGCGGGAUGCAAACAAGAAAGGAAAGGUUCUGAAAUUUUGUUGUGAAUCCUCUGCACGAAAGCACUUAUCCUAAAUGAUACGCAAUACCGAAUUUGAAACUACGAUGAGAUGGAACUGAGCAUCUGAUAUUAUGUCAUUUAGAUGAAACUCGUUUCACUAGUGUUUAAAUGUCUCCUAGGCUGGGAAGCACGGAUGCUUCAGUAAAGGCUAGCGCAAUGUCCCCAUGUCUCUCCUAUGCUGGGAAGUAAAGGCUAGCCAAAUGUCCCCAUGAGAUUAGAUCAAAUCUGACGUUGAUCUCAAAUAUGCUUCCUUCCUCAAAAUCUGUACCGGUACCCUAAGUUUACCACUUUUUGCUAAAACUUUGUCAUGUGCCCCAAAUUUAUGGAGUGAUCAAAAUUUGCCUUGCAGCCCAAAA